GGUUAAGCGACUAAGCGUACACGGUGGAUGCCCUGGCAGUCAGAGGCGAUGAAGGACGUGCUAAUCUGCGAUAAGCGUCGGUAAGGUGAUAUGAACCGUUAUAACCGGCGAUUUCCGAAUGGGGAAACCCAGUGUGAUUCGUCACACUAUCAUUAACUGAAUCCAUAGGUUAAUGAGGCGAACCGGGGGAACUGAAACAUCUAAGUACCCCGAGGAAAAGAAAUCAACCGAGAUUCCCCCAGUAGCGGCGAGCGAACGGGGAGCAGCCCAGAGCCUGAAUCAGUGUGUGUGUUAGUGGAAGCGUCUGGAAAGGCGCGCGAUACAGGGUGACAGCCCCGUACACAAAAAUGCACAUGCUGUGAGCUCGAUGAGUAGGGCGGGACACGUGGUAUCCUGUCUGAAUAUGGGGGGACCAUCCUCCAAGGCUAAAUACUCCUGACUGACCGAUAGUGAACCAGUACCGUGAGGGAAAGGCGAAAAGAACCCCGGCGAGGGGAGUGAAAAAGAACCUGAAACCGUGUACGUACAAGCAGUGGGAGCACGCUUAGGCGUGUGACUGCGUACCUUUUGUAUAAUGGGUCAGCGACUUAUAUUCUGUAGCAAGGUUAACCGAAUAGGGGAGCCGAAGGGAAACCGAGUCUUAACUGGGCGUUAAGUUGCAGGGUAUAGACCCGAAACCCGGUGAUCUAGCCAUGGGCAGGUUGAAGGUUGGGUAACACUAACUGGAGGACCGAACCGACUAAUGUUGAAAAAUUAGCGGAUGACUUGUGGCUGGGGGUGAAAGGCCAAUCAAACCGGGAGAUAGCUGGUUCUCCCCGAAAGCUAUUUAGGUAGCGCCUCGUGAAUUCAUCUCCGGGGGUAGAGCACUGUUUCGGCAAGGGGGUCAUCCCGACUUACCAACCCGAUGCAAACUGCGAAUACCGGAGAAUGUUAUCACGGGAGACACACGGCGGGUGCUAACGUCCGUCGUGAAGAGGGAAACAACCCAGACCGCCAGCUAAGGUCCCAAAGUCAUGGUUAAGUGGGAAACGAUGUGGGAAGGCCCAGACAGCCAGGAUGUUGGCUUAGAAGCAGCCAUCAUUUAAAGAAAGCGUAAUAGCUCACUGGUCGAGUCGGCCUGCGCGGAAGAUGUAACGGGGCUAAACCAUGCACCGAAGCUGCGGCAGCGACGCUUAUGCGUUGUUGGGUAGGGGAGCGUUCUGUAAGCCUGUGAAGGUGUGCUGUGAGGCAUGCUGGAGGUAUCAGAAGUGCGAAUGCUGACAUAAGUAACGAUAAAGCGGGUGAAAAGCCCGCUCGCCGGAAGACCAAGGGUUCCUGUCCAACGUUAAUCGGGGCAGGGUGAGUCGACCCCUAAGGCGAGGCCGAAAGGCGUAGUCGAUGGGAAACAGGUUAAUAUUCCUGUACUUGGUGUUACUGCGAAGGGGGGACGGAGAAGGCUAUGUUGGCCGGGCGACGGUUGUCCCGGUUUAAGCGUGUAGGCUGGUUUUCCAGGCAAAUCCGGAAAAUCAAGGCUGAGGCGUGAUGACGAGGCACUACGGUGCUGAAGCAACAAAUGCCCUGCUUCCAGGAAAAGCCUCUAAGCAUCAGGUAACAUCAAAUCGUACCCCAAACCGACACAGGUGGUCAGGUAGAGAAUACCAAGGCGCUUGAGAGAACUCGGGUGAAGGAACUAGGCAAAAUGGUGCCGUAACUUCGGGAGAAGGCACGCUGAUAUGUAGGUGAAGCGACUUGCUCGUGGAGCUGAAAUCAGUCGAAGAUACCAGCUGGCUGCAACUGUUUAUUAAAAACACAGCACUGUGCAAACACGAAAGUGGACGUAUACGGUGUGACGCCUGCCCGGUGCCGGAAGGUUAAUUGAUGGGGU
rnacentral:rRNA from 1 species